rnacentral:tRNA from 1 species
GCCUGGGUGGCUCAGUGGUUGAGCGUCUGCCUUCGGCUCAGGUCAUGAUCCUGGGGUCCUGGGAUCGAGUCCCACACCAGGCU